rnacentral:rRNA from 1 species
UACGAAGGGUGCAAACGUUGCUCGGAAUUAUUGGGCGUAAAGCGCACGUAGGCGGCUUGGCAAGUCGGAUGUGAAAUCCCUCGGCUCAACCAAGGAAGUGCAUCCGAAACUGCCGAGCUUGAGUACUUAAGAGGAUCGCGGAAUUCCCGGUGUAGAGGUGAAAUUCGUAGAUAUCGGGAGGAACACCAGUGGCGAAGGCGGCGAUCUGGGAAGAUACUGACGCUGAGGUGCGAAGGCCAGGGGAGCAAACGGG